UGCGAGUCGAGRGGUUCGGCCCUCGGCGGACGGCUCAGUAACACGUGGAUAAUCUGCCCUAGGGUGGAGGAUAAUCUCGGGAAACUGAGAAUAAUACUCCAUAGGUCUAAGAGGCUGGAAUGCACUUAGGCUGAAAGCCCCGGCGCCCUAGGAUGAGUCUGCGGACUAUCAGGUUGUAGUCAGGGUAACGACCUGACUAGCCUACGACGGAUACGGGUUGUGGGAGCAAUAACCCGGAGACGAUAUCUGAGACACGAUAUCGGGCCCYACGGGGCGCAGCAGGCGCGAAAACUUCACACUGUGCGAAAGCACGAUGAGGGAAUCCCAAGUGCCAGCUCGUAAGAGUUGGCUGUUUCUCUGUCUAAAACGCAGAGAGAGUAAGGGCUGGGUAAGACGGGUGCCAGCCGCCGCGGUAAUACCUGCAGCUCGAGUGGUGGCCGCUAUUAUUGGGCCUAAAACGUCCGUAGCCGGCUUAGUAAAUGCCUGGGUAAAUCGUGUAGCUCAACUAUACGAAUUCCGGGUAGACUGCUAGGCUUGAGACCGGGAGAGGCUAGAGGUACUCCUGGGGUAGAGGUGAAAUUCUGUAAUCCUAGGGGGACCACCAGUGGCGAAGGCGUCUAGCUAGAACGGGUCUGACGGUGAGGGACGAAGCCCUGGGGCGCAAACCCGGAUUANAUACCCGGGUAG
rnacentral:rRNA from 1 species